UGCAGAAUCCCGUGAACCAUCGAGUCUUUGAACGCAAGUUGCGCCCGAAGCCACUAGGCUGAGGGCACGUCUGCCUGGGUGUCACGCAUCGUCUUGCCCACAAACCACUCACACCUGAGAAGUUGUGAAGGUUUGGGGGCGGAAACUGGCCUCCCGUACCUUGUCGUGCGGUUGGCGGAAAACUUGUCUCCGGCGAUGGACGUCGCGACAUCGGUGGUUGUAAAAGACCUUCUUGUCUUGUCGCGCGAAUCCUCGUCAUCUUAGAGAGCUGCAGGACCCUUAGGCAGCACACACUCUGUGCGCUUCGACUGUGACCCCAGGUCAGGCGGGACUACCCGCUGAGUUUAAGCAUAUCAA
rnacentral:misc_RNA from 1 species